UGGGGAAUUUUGGACAAUGGGCGCAAGCCUGAUCCAGCCAUGCCGCGUGCGGGAAGAAGGCCUUCGGGUUGUAAACCGCUUUUGUCAGGGAAGAAAUCUUCUGAGUUAAUACCUCGGGGAGGAUGACGGUACCUGAAGAAUAAGCACCGGCUAACUACGUGCCAGCAGCCGCGGUAAAUACGUAGGGUGCAAGCGUUAAUCGGAAUACUGGGCGUAAAGCGUGCGCAGGCGGUUUUGUAAGACAGAGGUGAAAUCCCCGGGCUCAACCUGGGAACUGCCUUUGUGACUGCAAGGCUUGAGUGCGGCAGAGGGGGGAUGGAAUUCCGCGUGUAGCAGUGAAAUGCGUAGAUAUGCGGAGGAACACCGAUGGCGAAGGCAAUCCCCUGGGCCUGCACUGACGCUCAUGUACGAAAGCGUGGGGAGCAAACAGGAUUAGAUACCCUGGUAGUCCACGCCCUAAACGAUGUCAACUGGUUGUUGGGAAGGUUCCUUCUCAGUAACGUAGCUAACGCGUGAAGUU
rnacentral:rRNA from 1 species